UACGUAGGGGGGCAAGCGUUGUCCGGAUUCAUUGGGCGUAAAGAGCGUGUAGGCGGCCAGGUAGGUCGGUUGUGAAAACUGGAGGCUCAACCUUCAGAGGUCGACCGAAACCAUCUGACUAGAGUCCGGGAGAGGAGAGUGGAAUUCCUGGUGUAGCGGUGAAAUGCGCAGAUAUCAGGAAGAACACCCGUGGCGAAAGCGGCUCUCUGGAACGGUACUGACGCUGAGACGCGAAAGCGUGGGGAGCGAACAGG
rnacentral:rRNA from 1 species